rnacentral:rRNA from 1 species
AACGAACGCUGGCGGCAUGCCUAACACAUGCAAGUCGAACGAGAUCUUCGGGUCUAGUGGCGCACGGGUGCGUAACGCGUGGGAUUCUGCCCUUUGGUUCGGAAUAACAGUUGGAAACGACUGCUAAUACCGGAUGAUGACGAAAGUCCAAAGAUUUAUCGCCAGAGGAUGAGCCCGCGUGGGAUUAGCUAGUUGGUGUGGUAAAGGCGCACCAAGGCGACGAUCCUUAGCUGGUCUGAGAGGAUGAUCAGCCACACUGGGACUGAGACACGGCCCAGACUCCUACGGGAGGCAGCAGUGGGGAAUAUUGGACAAUGGGCGAAAGCCUGAUCCAGCAAUGCCGCGUGAGUGAUGAGGGCCUUAGGGUUGUAAAGCUCUUUUACCCGGGAUGAUAAUGACAGUACCGGGAGAAUAAGCUCCGGCUAACUCCGUGCCAGCCGCCGCCGUAA